AAUGGUGGCUAUGUCGCGGGUGUCCACCUCUUCCCAUUCCGAACAGAGAAGUUAAGCCCCGCCGAGCCGAUGGUACUGCGGUCACACGCGGGAGAGUAGGUAGCCGCCAACC
rfam:Rufibacter sp. DG15C, complete genome.